rnacentral:miRNA from 1 species
GUUAGUUGAAUAGUAUAAUCGAAC